UAUCUUUUUACUAAUCUUAAGUACAUUGAUAGGAACAUAGUCUUUUCUGUUUGAGCUGAAGGUGAUGUUUCAGCACCAAGAGGAGGUGGACAGCUCCCAAAAUGAUGUUGACAGGAUUAACGAAACAAAAUCCCUUCACUUGUUAACAGUCCUCAGAACCACAACACAGCCGUGUUGUGAGCGCAGUGCACUGAACCUUUAAUAUAAAACCCAUCGGUAUCCACAGAGGAAACUUCAGAACCAUGUCAAAAUGCAUCCGCGCUUAUAGCAAAUGUAACAGGCGCCUUCUUGUGGUGGAAAUCUAAAAGUACAUAGAAGCACAGUUGUACUCGAACUGCGGCCGGCUCUUUUAACUAAAGGAUAAAUGAUGUCCACAUAGUAUCAGUACACAGGGAAAAUACAUGAGGGCAGUUCAAUUUAUUAGAGGCAGUUUACAAUUUUUUUUACAAAGUUCUGUUCGCCACAUACUUACAGGUACGGGUUAUUGUUUACUAACAUGAAUACUAGUCUUAAGGAAAAUCGGUUGUAGUUUAGUAAAAAAUCAACACUGUUGUGGUUGUUUAAGCUUGACCGGAUGAAGAACAAAAAAUUAAAAAAACAAACAAACAAAAAACCCCAAAGGUAAUGAACCCUGAACAAUCCAGUAUAUCCACUAGAGGGCACACGGUCACUUUCAUUCUACAUUCCAGCAGCUCUAACGUCACCGUGGGCGUCAACCAUUGUCAAAGGUGACACCGUUAAGCCUUGGCGGAGUUAAUAUUGUAACACAACUAUUCCUGUGACUGCGUCAUCGGAUCCAUCGCUGCCAUCACUGUUGCUGACGCUGAGAGGAUUUCACCUGCUGACGACUCUCUGACAUGAACGUCAGUCACCUUUCAGUGGGUGAGCCAAUCAACACUGAAGCAUGGCAGUGGUACUACAGUGAGGUCGGGGACAAGCGUUGUCCUGUGGUGGAUACCUGGUG